rnacentral:misc_RNA from 1 species
UCCGGUUUGUCACCGGCAGUCUCAUUAGAGCGCCCUUUCGUAGCAACUAAUGACAAGGGUUGCGCUCGUUGCUGGACUUAACCAAACACCUCACGGCACGAGCUGACGACAGCCAUGCAGCACCUGUGUAGCGGUCCUUGCGGAAAGCCACAUCUCUGUGGCGGUCCCCUACAUGUCAAGACUGGGUAAGGUUCUUCGCGUAGCAUCGAAUUAAUCCACAUAAUCCACCGCUUGUGCGGGUCCCCGUCAAUUCCUUUGAGUUUUAACCUUGCGGCCGUACUCCCCAGGCGGUCGACUUCACGCGUUAGCUUCGUUACUGAGAGUGUCAAACCCCCAACAACCAGUCGACAUCGUUUAGGGCGUGGACUAC